UACGGAGGAUGCGAGCGUUAUCCGGAUUUAUUGGGUUUAAAGGGUGCGUAGGCGGGAUGCCAAGUCAGCGGUAAAAAUGCGGUGCUCAACGCCGUCGAGCCGUUGAAACUGGCGUUCUUGAGUGGGCGAGAAGUAUGCGGAAUGCGUGGUGUAGCGGUGAAAUGCGUAGAUAUCACGCAGAACUCCGAUUGCGAAGGCAGCAUACCGGCGCCCGACUGACGCUGAAGCACGAAAGCGUGGGUAUCGAACAGG
rnacentral:rRNA from 1 species